rnacentral:rRNA from 1 species
GAUGAACGCUGGCGGCGUGCCUAAUACAUGCAAGUCGAGCGAACAGACGAGGAGCUUGCUCCUCUGACGUUAGCGGCGGACGGGUGAGUAACACGUGGAUAACCUACCUAUAAGACUGGGAUAACUUCGGGAAACCGGAGCUAAUACCGGAUAAUAUAUUGAACCGCAGGGUUCAAUAGUGAAAGACGGUUUUGCUGUCACUUAUAGAUGGAUCCGCGCCGCAUUAGCUAGUUGGUAAGGUAACGGCUUACCAAGGCAACGAUGCGUAGCCGACCUGAGGGGGUGAUCGGCCACACUGGAACUGAGACACGGUCCAGACUCCUACGGGAGGCAGCAGUAGGGAAUCUUCCGCAAUGGGCGAAAGCUUGACGGAGCAACGCCGCGUGAGUGAUGAAGGUCUUCGGGUCGUAAAACUCUGUUAUUAGGGAAGAACAAAUGUGUGAGUAACUAUGCACGUCUUGACGGUACCUAAUCAGAAAGCCCCGGCUAACUCCGUG